rnacentral:RNase_P_RNA from 1 species
GCGACGGAGGUGGCACGGCAAACCCCAUCCGGAGCAAGGCCAAAUAGGGGCGGAGAGGUGGCCCGCCUCGCUAACACGCCCGGGUAGGCCGCAGGAGGCGUCCGGCAACGGGCGUCCCAGACCGAUGGCUAUCAGCCCUUUCGGGCUACAGAACCCGGCUUACAGUCCCGCUUCCCUU